UGCCUUAUAUAAAGAUAUAAGGGAAACGAAUUGUAGUCAAUUCCUGUAGAAGAUUAUUUAUUAAUCUGUCAA
rnacentral:sRNA from 1 species